ACACAAGAGCUUGCUCUCGGGUGACGAGCGGCGGACGGGUGAGUAAUGUCUGGGAAACUGCCUGAUGGAGGGGGAUAACUACUGGAAACGGUAGCUAAUACCGCAUAAUGUCGCAAGACCAAAGUGGGGGACCUUCGGGCCUCAUGCCAUCAGAUGUGCCCAGAUGGGAUUAGCUAGUAGGUGGGGUAACGGCUCACCUAGGCGACGAUCCCUAGCUGGUCUGAGAGGAUGACCAGCCACACUGGAACUGAGACACGGUCCAGACUCCUACGGGAGGCAGCAGUGGGGAAUAUUGCACAAUGGGCGCAAGCCUGAUGCAGCCAUGCCGCGUGUGUGAAGAAGGCCUUCGGGUUGUAAAGCACUUUCAGCGGGGAGGAAGGCGAUAAGGUUAAUAACCUUGUCGAUUGACGUUACCCGCAGAAGAAGCACCGGCUAACUCCGUGCCAGCAGCCGCGGUAAUACGGAGGGUGCAAGCGUUAAUCGGAAUUACUGGGCGUAAAGCGCACGCAGGCGGUCUGUCAAGUCGGAUGUGAAAUCCCCGGGCUCAACCUGGGAACUGCAUUCGAAACUGGCAGGCUAGAGUCUUGUAGAGGGGGGUAGAAUUCCAGGUGUAGCGGUGAAAUGCGUAGAGAUCUGGAGGAAUACCGGUGGCGAAGGCGGCCCCCUGGACAAAGACUGACGCUCAGGUGCGAAAGCGUGGGGAGCAACAGGAUAGAUACCCUGGUAGUCACGCCGUAA
rnacentral:rRNA from 1 species